GUGAGCCUACGGGGCGCAGCAGUAGGGAAUCUUCCACAAUGGACGAAAGUCUGAUGGAGCAACGCCGCGUGAGUGAAGAAGGGUUUCGGCUCGUAAAGCUCUGUUGGUAGGGAAGAAAGAUAGAGGUAGGAACUGGCCUUUAUUUGACGGUAAUUACUUAGAAAGUCACGGCUAACUACGUGCCAGCAGCCGCGGGAAUACGUAGGGGGCAAGCGUUGUCCGGAUUUAUUGGGCGUAAAGCGAGUGCAGGCGGGUUGAAGAGUCU
rnacentral:rRNA from 1 species